GUGUAUAUAUUAUAAAUAAAAUUAUAUUUGAUUUGCAUUCAUAAGAUAUUUAUACAC
rnacentral:tRNA from 1 species